rnacentral:rRNA from 1 species
UUUUUAUGUAAAUUUUGGAUUUUAAAUAAAUUAUUAAGCAGUAAUUAAUUUUAAUUAUUCAAGAUAUUGAGAAUUAGUAAUGUUUUUUUAUUUUGAUUAAAUUUGUGCCAGCAAUCGCGGUUAUACAAAUAAGGUAAUAUAUUCUUUUUGGUUAGUAGUUAAUUUCUUUUUUAGGUUGAUUUAAAUAUUUUUAAGUGAAAUUGUGAUCUUUAUGUUGACUUUUUUUAUUGAGGCUAUUAAUUUUUUUAUUAAACUAGGAUUAGAUACCCUAUUAUUUAAAAUGUAAAAAUUUUACCAGGUUAGUAUUAGUUUUGUUCUUGAAAACCAAAGAUUUUGGCGGUAUCUUAUUCUUUCCAGAGGAACCUGUCCUUUAAUUGAUAAUCCACGAUUAAUUUAACUUUACUUAAGUUUGUAUAUCGUCGUAGUUGAAUAUUCUAUAAGGACUAAAAUAUUCAAAAUUCUUAAAGAAGUUAAAAUUCAGAUCAAGAUGCAGCUUGUAGUGGAGAAGAGAUGGGUUACUUUAUUUUUAUUAUGGUUUAAAUUUUGGAAUAUUUUAAUUAAAUUGGAUUUGGAAGUAAUUUUCUAUAACUAUAGAAUUUGAUUAAGCUCUAAGAUAUGCACAUAUCGCCCGUCGCUUUCAUAAAAGUGAAAUAAGUCGUAACAAAGUAGGUGUACUGGAAAGUGUACCUAGAAUGA